rnacentral:rRNA from 1 species
GGUUUGAUCAUGGCUCAGAUUGAACGCUGGCGGGAUGCUUUACCAUGCAAGUCGAACGGCAGCACGGACUUCGGUCUGGUGGCGAGUGGCGAACGGGUGAGUAAUGUAUCGGAACGUGCCUAGUAGCGGGGGAUAACACGCGAAAGCGUAGCUAAUACCGCAUACGCCCUUCGGGGAAAGCGAGAGGCCUUCGGGCCUCGCACUAUUACCGACGGCCGAUAUCGGAUUAGCUAGUUGGUGGGGUAACGGCUCACCAAGGCGACGAUCCGUAGCUGGUUUGAGAGGACGAUAGCCACACUGGGACUGAGACACGGCCCAGACUCCUACGGGAGGCAGCAGUGGGGAAUUUUGGACAAUGGAAACCUGAUCCAGCCAUCCCCGCGUGUGCGAUGAAGGCCUUCGGGUUGUAAAGCACUUUUGGCAGGAAAGAAACGGCUGGGGAUAAUACCCCGUGCAACUGGCUACCUGCAGGCAGCACCGGCUAACUACGUGCCAGCAGCCGCGGUAAUACGUAGGGUGCAAGCGUUAAUCGGAAUUACUGGGCGUAAAGCGUGCGCAGGCGGUUCGGAAAGAAAGAUGUGAAAUCCCAGAGCUUAACUUUGGAACUGCAUUUUUAACUACCGAGCUAGAGUGUGUCAGAGGGAGGUGGAAUUCCGCGUGUAGCAGUGAAAUGCGUAGAUAUGCGGAGGAACACCGAUGGCGAAGGCAGCCUCCUGGGAUAACACUGACGCUCAUGCACGAAAGCGUGGGAGCAAACAGGAUUAGAUACCCUGGUAGUCCACGCCCUAAACGAUGUCAACUAGCUGUUGGGGCCUUCGGGCCUUGGUAGCGCAGCUAACGCGUGAAGUUGACCGCCUGGGAGUACGGUCGCAAGAUUAAAACUCAAAGGAAUUGACGGGGACCCGCACAAGCGGUGGAUGAUGUGGAUUAAUUCGAUGCAACGCGAAAAACCUUACCUACCCUUGACAUGUCUGGAAUCCCGAAGAGAUUUGGGAGUGCUCGCAAGAGAACCGGAACACAGGUGCUGCAUGGCUGUCGUCGCUCGUGUCGUGAGAUGUUGGGUUAAGUCCCGCAACGAGCGCAACCCUUGUCAUUAGUUGCUACGAAAAGGGCACUCUAAUGAGACUGCCGGUGACAAACCGGAGGGAAGGUGAGACAAGCGUCGAAGUCCUCAUGGCCCUUAUGGGUAGAGCUUCACACGUCAUACAAUGGUCGGGACAGAGGGUCGCCAACCCGCGAGGGAGCCAAUCCAGGAAACCCGAUCGUAGUCCGGAUCGCAGUCUGCAACUCGACUGCGUGGAAGUCCGAAUCGCUAGUAAUCGCGGAUCAACAUGUCGCGGUGAAUACGUUCCCGGUCUUUACAUACACCGCCCGUCACACCAUGGGAGUGGGUUUUAUAAGUAGUUAAGCUAUUAACCGUAAGGAGGGCGAUUACCACGGUAAGUUCAUGACUGGGGUGAAGUCGUAACAAGGUAA